rnacentral:lncRNA from 1 species
GAUAAAGACUGCAGCAAACGUAAAGUUAAGAAACUGACGAUGGUGUGAAUGCAAAGGAGCACCACCAAACACAAGUUGUUGGUUUUUCUUCAACUUUUUUUUUUCAGUUCCUGAAUUCUGAGGGCUACUACCUAACACGAGUUGAGAAACUGCAGGCGGGGCCAGGUCAGGGAGGCUCUAUCCUUUCGGGGUCAGUUUUAAUUGUGCAGCCCCGACGUCGCGUUCGUCGUCUCCGGAUUAGCAGAUUUUUGACGUUUUGCUUUUUCUCUCCCCAUGCCUCUCUU